UACGGAGGGAGCUAGCGUUGUUCGGAAUUACUGGGCGUAAAGCGCACGUAGGCGGCUUUGUAAGUUAGAGGUGAAAGCCUGGGGCUCAACCCCAGAAUUGCCUUUAAGACUGCAACGCUUGAAUCCAGGAGAGGUGAGUGGAAUUCCGAGUGUAGAGGUGAAAUUCGUAGAUAUUCGGAAGAACACCAGUGGCGAAGGCGACACACUGGCCCGUUACUGACGCUGAGGCGCGAAAGCGUGGGGAGCAAACAGG
rnacentral:rRNA from 1 species